UUUGGCAAACGCUGUAUUCUUGUAAUAUAGAGGAAAGUCCAUGCUCACACUAUCUGAGAUGAUAGUAGUGUUCGUGUUAAGGGAAAAAAUAACCUUAAGUAGUUUUUACUAACGGCUAUGAAAUAACCUAAAGUUUUCUAUGGUUAGAGUAAUUAUAAAAGUGCUAUAGUGAUGAAGAAUCUGGAAACGGAGGAAGUGGAACAUAGUAAACCCCACGAGUGAGAAACCCAAAUAUUGGUAGGGGAGCUUAGGAGAGAGAAACUGAAUCAAACCUAGGAUUUGAAAUAUAAUAGAUAAAUGUUUGCCACCUUUUAAAGGGACAGAACAUGGCUUAUAA
rnacentral:RNase_P_RNA from 1 species